rnacentral:rRNA from 1 species
GUGGGGAAUUUUGGACAAUGGGCGAAAGCCUGAUCCAGCCAUGCCGCGUGCAGGAUGAAGGCCUUCGGGUUGUAAACUGCUUUUGUACGGAACGAAAAGACUCUGGUUAAUACCUGGGGUCCAUGACGGUACCGUAAGAAUAAGCACCGGCUAACUUCGUGCCAGCAGCCGCGGUAAUACGAAGGGGGCUAGCGUUGCUCGGAAUUACUGGGCGUAAAGGGCGCGUAGGCGGACAGCUUAGUCAGAGGUGAAAUCCCCGGGCUCAACCUGGGAACUGCCUCCAAAACUGCAUGACUAGAGUACGGUAGAGGGUAGUGGAAUUUCCUGUGUAGCGGUGAAAUGCGUAGAUAUAGGAAGGAACACCAGUGGCGAAGGCGACUACCUGGACUGAUACUGACACUGAGGUGCGAAAGCGUGGGGAGCAAACAGGAUUAGAAACCCUAGUAGUCC